rnacentral:rRNA from 1 species
GAUGAACGCUGGCGGCGUGCCUAAUACAUGCAAGUCGAGCGAACGGACGAGAAGCUUGCUUCUCUGAUGUUAGCGGCGGACGGGUGAGUAACACGUGGAUAACCUACCUAUAAGACUGGGAUAACUUCGGGAAACCGGAGCUAAUACCGGAUGAUAUUUUGAACCGCAUGGUUCAAAAGUGAAAGACGGUCUUGCUGUCACUUAUAGAUGGAUCCGCGCUGCAUUAGCUAGUUGGUAAGGUAACGGCUUACCAAGGCAACGAUGCAUAGCCGACCUGAGAGGGUGAUCGGCCACACUGGAACUGAGACUCGGUCCAGACUCCUACGGGAGGCAGCAGUAGGGAAUCUUCCGCAAUGGGCGAAAGCCUGACGGAGCAACGCCGCGUGAGUGAUGAAGGUCUUCGGAUCGUAAAACUCUGUUAUCAGGGAAGAACAUAUGUGUAAGUAACUGUGCACAUCUUGACGGUACCUAAUCAGAAAGCCACGGCUAACUACGUG